rnacentral:rRNA from 1 species
GUUUAUGGCAAUAUCAUAUUGAAAGCACUGAUUCUCAUCUUAUCACUAAAAUUAAGCAACAUAGAGCCUACUUAGCACUUAUAUGGUUGACAACUUAGAGAAAAUGUAGGUGUUGUAAGCA